GACGUAGGGCGCGAGCGUUGUCCGGAUUUAUUGGGCGUAAAGAGCUCGUAGGCGGUCUGUCGCGUCUGCUGUGAAAUCUCAGGGCUUAACCCUGAGCUUGCAGUGGGUACGGGCAGACUAGAGUGCGGUAGGGGAGACUGGAAUUCCUGGUGUAGCGGUGAAAUGCGCAGAUAUCAGGAGGAACACCAAUGGCGAAGGCAGCUCGCUGGGACGUGACUGACGACUGGAGAACGCGAAAGCGUGGGGAGCAAACAGG
rnacentral:rRNA from 1 species